CGAUGAAAAUGAUGAAGGAGAAAAAGAUUGGAUGAUGACCCAUGAUCUCAAAAACAUCCUCUAUUUCGCUACGUUCUUUCUGAUUCAUCC
rfam:Cucumis sativus cultivar 9930 chromosome 7, whole genome shotgun sequence.